GGGAAAACCACUCUGCACAGUGCCCCUGAGCAGGCUGUGCCUUGAAGGUGCCCAACGUGCCCGAAGGUGCCCGAUUGAAGGUGCCCUGAGGCAAAAAUCAACAAUCGAAACAAAAUUUGAUUUUCAAACUGGUCUGUCUUUUUCGAGGUGGUAGCGAGUCGAUUCCAACUGCAGGCAGAAUUGUGCUAGGAACUACGGAACAAGGACAAGAAGGAGAUGACCAAGCAGCUCGAGUAGCUCACCUGAGCUGCUAAAGUUGUUCGUGGCUGAGGCCACAGCGUGGUGCUUGCUGUCUAAAAUCAGCGUUGUCCGCAAGGCCAUCUCCCGGGUGUCCAUGAAAAAGGCAGAGGAGAACCAAGAACUGCGUGUCCCUGGAUAUACGUAACAAAAAGACGUGCCCCGUGCGUAUGGCCCUGAGCAGCGAAAGCGCGCCAAGUUCCAAGAGCAAAAGCGCGGCGUCAAGGCUUAAACACGUCGGUCAAGUCUACUUUUUCAUUCAACAAAAGAUCGCUGGAAUCGUGAAAAUAUUGUCUGUGCGAGACAGGCGUUUAU